UGAACGCUGGCGGCAGGCCUAAUACAUGCAAGUCGAACGGCUCUUCGGAGCAGUGGCGGACGGGUGAGUAACGCGUGGGAAUGUGCCCUUAGGUACGGAACAACACAGGGAAACUUGUGCUAAUACCGUAUGUGCCCUUCGGGGGAAAGAUUUAUCGCCUUUGGAGCAGCCCGCGUUGGAUUAGCUAGUUGGUGAGGUAAAGGCUCACCAAGGCGACGAUCCAUAGCUGGUCUGAGAGGAUGACCAGCCACACUGGGACUGAGACACGGCCCAGACUCCUACGGGAGGCAGCAGUAGGGAAUCUUGCGCAAUGGGCGAAAGCCUGACGCAGCCAUGCCGCGUGUAUGAUGAAGGUCUUAGGAUUGUAAAAUACUUUCACCGGGGAAGAUGAUGACGGUACCCGGAGAAGAAGCCCCGGCUAACUUCGUGCCAGCCGCCGCGGUAAAAC
rnacentral:rRNA from 1 species